rnacentral:rRNA from 1 species
CGAACGCUGGCGGCGUGCUUAACACAUGCAAGUCGACCGGGUCUGCCCUGUUUUUUGCGGGGUGGGUCAGUGGCGAACGGGUGAGUAACACGUGAGUAACCUGCCCCUCACUUCUGGAUAACCGCUUGAAAGGGUGGCUAAUACGGGGUGUUCUGGCUGUGCCGCAUGGUGUGGCUGGGAAAGAUUCACUUUUGUGGUGUUUUGGUGGGGGAUGGGCUCGCGGCCUAUCAGCUUGUUGGUGGGGUGAUGGCCUGCCAAGGCUUUGACGGGUAGCCGGCCUGAGAGGGUGGGCGGUCACACUGGGACUGAGAUACGGCCCAGACUCCUGCGGGAGGCAGCAGUGGGGGGUAUUGCACAAUGGGCGGAAGCCUGAUGCAGCGACGUCGCGUGAGGGAUGGAGGCCUUCGGGUUGUGAACCUCUUUCGCCGGUGAAGAAGGUCCUGCUCUUUGUGGUGGGGUUGACGGUAGCCGGGUUAUGAAGCGCCGGCUAACUACGUG